GACGAACGCUGGCGGCGUGCUUAACACAUGCAAGUCGAACGCUGAAGACCUGGCUUUUGUUGGGUUGGAUGAGUGGCGAACGGGUGAGUAACACGUGAGUAACCUGCCCUCUUCUUUGGGAUAACGCCCGGAAACGGGUGCUAAUACUGGAUAUUCACUGGCCAUCGCAUGGGGGCUGGUGGAAAGGGUUGUUCUGGUGGGGGAUGGGCUCGCGGCCUAUCAGCUUGUUGGUGGGGUGAUGGCCUAUCAAGGCUUUGACGGGUAGCCGGCCUGAGAGGGGGACCGGUCACAUUGGGACUGAGAGACGGCCCAGAAUCGUACGAGAGGCAGCAGUGGGGAAUAUUGCACAAUGGGCGAAAGCCUGAUGCAGCGACGCCGCGUGAGGGAUGGAGGCCUUCGGGGUGUAAACCUCUUUCGGUCAUGGUCAAGCCGCAACUGUGGGUUGUAGUGAGGGUAGUGGGUAAAGAAGCGCCGGCUAACUACGUG
rnacentral:rRNA from 1 species